rnacentral:rRNA from 1 species
UACGUAGGGUGCGAGCGUUAAUCGGAAUUACUGGGCGUAAAGCGUGCGCAGGCGGUUCGUUAAGUUCGUUGUGAAAGCCCCGGGCUCAACCUGGGAACUGCAAUGGAAACUGGCGGGCUUGAAUGCGGCAGAGGGGGGUGGAAUUCCGCGUGUAGCAGUGAAAUGCGUAGAGAUGCGGAGGAACACCGAUGGCGAAGGCAGCCCCCUGGGCCAAUACUGACGCUCAGGCACGAAAGCGUGGGGAGCAAACAGG